GUGCUCGCUUCCGCAGCACAUAUACUAAAAUUGGAAAAUUGGAAGAUUAGCAUGGCCCCUGUGCAAGGAUGACACACAAAUUCAUGAAGCAUUCCAUAUUUUU
rnacentral:snRNA from 1 species